rnacentral:rRNA from 1 species
UACGUAGGGUGCAAGCGUUGUCCGGAAUUAUUGGGCGUAAAGAGCUCGUAGGCGGUUUGUCGCGUCUGCUGUGAAAACCCGAGGCUCAACCUCGGGCCUGCAGUGGGUACGGGCAGACUAGAGUGCGGUAGGGGAGAUUGGAAUUCCUGGUGUAGCGGUGGAAUGCGCAGAUAUCAGGAGGAACACCAAUGGCGAAGGCAGAUCUCUGGGCCGUAACUGACGCUGAGGAGCGAAAGCGUGGGGAGCGAACAGG